GCUUUUAGAUUUGGUUUUUAGUUGUUAUUAUAUGUAAGUUAUAGCGUUUUUCUGAGAUUCUUUUAAAUAAAGUAAAUUAAUUCUGGAGAGUAAAAUCGCAGUAUAGAAUUUUAAAUAUUUAAGUGAUUAAGAUUUAGAAAUUUAGAAUAGUAUUGGCUAAACUUGUGCCAGCAGCCGCGGUUAUACUAGUGAUGCAAUCAAAUUUAUUUGGUAAGUAGUUAAAAUAAGGUUUAAAUGUAAGAUUAAAUUUAUUAGGUGAAAUUAUUAAGUUUGAUAAAAAGUUUAAAAUAGGAUUUUGAGGCUACGAAAUUUUUUUUAUAGACUAGGAUUAGAUACCCUAUUAUUAAAAAUGUAAAUUAGUUACCAGAUCAGUAUUAGUUAUGUUCUUGAAAAUUAAAGAAUUUGGCGGUAUUCUAGUCCAUUCAGAGGAACCUGUCCUAUAAUCGAUAAUCCACGAUUAAUUGUACUUACUUUAAAGGUUUGUAUACCGUCGUAGUUUGAAUGUUUUAAAAGAAUUAUAAUAUUCAAAAUUUAGGAUAUUAAAGGAAAUCAGAUCAAGGUACAGCGUAUAGGUAAGUAGAGAUGGGUUACAAUAAAUUUAUUUAUAUGGUUACAAAAAUUAACAUAUUGUAUAAAGUGGAUUUGAAUGUAAUAUAAUUGAGUUUAAUUAUAUGAUUUUGGCCCUAGAAUAUGCACAUAUCGCCCGUCGCUCUCACUCUAAAGUGAGAUAAGUCGUAACAGAGUGGGCUUACUGGAAAGUGUGCCUUGUAAGG
rnacentral:ncRNA from 1 species